rnacentral:rRNA from 1 species
AGAAUCAACGCUGGCGGCGUGCCUAACACAUGCAAGUCGAACGAGAAAGUGGAGCAAGUCCAUUAGUAAAGUGGCGCACGGGUGAGUAACACGUGACUAACCUACCCUUGAGUGGGGGAUAACCUAGGGAACCUGGGCUAAUACCGCAUAAUACCUUCGGGUCAAAGGAGCAAUUCGCUUAAGGAGGGGGUCGCGGCCGAUUAGUUAGUUGGCGGGGUAAUGGCCCACAAGACGAUGAUCGGUAU